CAUGAACUCAAAGGCAGUAAGGUUUAAUGAGGAUGACAAUUGUUUCUGUUCUGAACCUUCUGGAGCAGAAGGUCAUCUUGCAGUUACACGUUGAAAGUUAUAUGGUAUUAGAUAAUAGGCUUUGAAGCAAUUGUAUGACACUGUGCGUGCAGGAAUAGGGUUGUAUAGGACCAUCAGAAAAAGAGAGAGCGAGAGAGACACAUACACACACACACACACACACACACACUCUCUCGACUCAAUAUCUCUCUCUAUCUCUCGCGACUCAAUGUCUCAAGAUAUAUGGAAAAUAUCAUCAG